UACGUAGGGCGCAAGCGUUAUCCGGAAUUAUUGGGCGUAAAGAGCUCGUAGGCGGUUUGUCGCGUCUGCCGUGAAAGUCCGGGGCUCAACUCCGGAUCUGCGGUGGGUACGGGCAGACUUAGAGUAUGUAGGGGAGACUGGAAUUCCUGGUGUAGGCGGUGGAAAUGCGCAGAUAUCAGGAGGAACACCGGUAGUGGCGAAGGCGGGUCUCUGGGCAUUAACUGACCCUGAGGAGCGAAAGCGUGGGGAGCAAACAGG
rnacentral:rRNA from 1 species